AUGGACGUGGGGUCCUGCAACCUCGGCGGCAACGCCGACGCGGUGGAGUUCUGCCCGCACCGCCCCUUCCGCCACAUCCUGGCGGCCGCCACGUACACGCUGCAGGAGCAGGCGGGGGAGGAGCAGCAGCAGCAGGACCGCGCGGGCACCGUGUCGCUCUUCUCCGUCGACGCUGGCGCUGAGGACGAGUCCCGACGUCUCCGGCUGCUCCACACGGUGGAGACCGCCGGCGUCUUCGACAUGAAGUGGAGCCCCACGGCGCCGCUGCUCGCGCAGGCCGACGCCCACGGCCGCCUCGUGCUCCGGCGCCUCGAGCAUGAAGACGGCUCGGACGAAGGUGUUGUUCUCACAGACGUGGUUGCUGGAAACAUUUCUUCAUCAAUGUGCUUGUAUGUCGACUGGAACCAAAAUGCCGAUUCCCUGGCCGUUGCAUUAUCAGAUGGUUCACUGUCUGUGGUUCCCAUGAGAGAGGACCGCCUGGAGGUAUCAGAACAAUGGACUGCUCAUCAGUAUGAAGUUUGGACAUGUUAUUUCGAUCGUGCAAGACCACACUUGUUGUACAGUGGAUCGGACGACUGCUCUUUCGGUUGCUGGGAUUUGCGGGAAAGCCUAUCGAAUGCUGUGUUUCGGAAUAAGAAGACUCAUACUAUGGGUGUGUGUUGCAUUGCUCAGAACCCAUUGGAGGGGAAUAUGCUACUCACUGGAAGCUAUGAUGAAUUUCUCAGAGUUUGGGACAUGAGAUCAAUGAUGAAACCUGUGAACGAGAAGUCCCUGAAUUUAGGAGGUGGUGUAUGGAGGUUGAAAUAUCAUCCUAAUAUUGCAGAUGUAGUAUUGGCUGCAUGCAUGCACAACGGUUUUGCCAUUGUUAAAGCAGGGGCUGGAGAUGCUACCAUAAUGGAAACAUAUUGCAAGCAUGAGUCCUUAGCAUAUGGUGCAGAUUGGCAGACUAGUGAAGCAGCGGAACAUAACACAAAUUCUUCAGUUAUUGCUACUUGUUCAUUUUAUGACCGCCUUCUCCGUGUGUGGCAACCAGAGAACCUAGUCAACCACCCAACCUCUAAGGCGUAA
rnacentral:rRNA from 1 species